AGUGAGGUGCAUGUCUGUGUGCGUGCCAUUGGGUGCAGUCACUAUAGCAACCAGGCUCACACCUGCCUGCUUAACGAGCUCUCUCUCACUCUGCCAAGGUUAAACCUAAAAAUGUCUGCUGCAUCUAAGCAGUUGUAGUAAGAUUAACUUUUUCAAUAGGUACAAUAAGACAGUUUUGACAGGGGUCAGUAGUUAGUAUAUGCCAACUAAGUAGAGCAUUGUGAUUGGCACAUAGGUUUUUCAGAUCUGGGCAGUUGGAGUCAGUUGAUGACUUUAAAAUCAUCCUUUCUGACUGGAUAAUUAAAGCUUACAGCAUCUACCUGUCUGUAGUUGAUUUUCCCACAUUUUAACUAACGUUUAACUAAUCUAAUCUCCUUUAUUGUCUGUGUUUAUAGUCUGUAUAGUUUAUCUCCCCACUAACAAACUUAAAGUAGUCUUAAAAUAAAACCCACAAAACAGUUCAAAAUGAAAUACUUUUUAUUUGCUCAUGUAAUGCCAGUUGCCAUAUUUUUCUGUAUGUCACUCAUUCGCUUAUACAAAAAGUACCAAUUUGUACACUAGUCUAGUGGAUUUUUUCCCUCUAUCUCUCUAUGUCUCUUACACACAGAGACUAACACAGACAUGUAUAUGCUCAUUAUUGCUGUUCAAACUGAUGUUCAAAUUUCCAAGCACCACCUGAACGCCUCAUUUAUUUUUAACCCAUCACUGGACCAACUGUCAUCAUUCCGCUUUGCUCUCUGCUGUGGAACUUGACUGACAUCUGUGCUUUGCCUGUGUGCAGAAGAACAAGGACCAGAUCUCCAGUCUUCUCUGUCACAUCCCAACCCCCCAUCCCCUCUAUCCUCUGUCCUGCUCCACCUGUUGUCUCUGCCUUCUUUCCAUCUGUAUUUCACCCUGUGGUUUGUGAGAAAUUUUGCCAAACCAAGAAUCUUAUUGCGGUUUGAUUUCAAAACCGUGUCUCUCCUGCUCUGUCUGUUCUCUCUGCUAAAUUUUCUCUCUACCUGUUUUUCACUCUUUGGCUUGCUGCUGAGAAAUGCACAAGCCAAUAAAGCAAUAAAGAGUGCAUAUUUUGCCUCAACCUUUGAACAAACUGAACAAACAAAGAAAACUCUACGGUUUGAUUUCAAAACCGUGUCUUUCCUGCUCUCUCUGUUCUCUCUGCUAAAUUUUCUCUCUACCUGUUUUUCACUCUUUGGCUUGCUGCUGAGAAAUGCACAAGCCAAUAAAGCAAUAAAGAGUGCAUAUUUUGCCUCAACCUUUGAACAAACUGAACAAAGAAAACUCUGCGGUUUGAUUUCCAAGCCGUGUCUCUCCUGCUCUGCCUGUUCUCUCUGCUAAAUUUUCUCUCUACCUGUUUUUCACUCUUGGCUUGCUGCUGAAAAAUGCCAAGCCAUUAAAGCAAUAAAGAGUGCAUAUUGCCUCUACCUGAGAACAAACUGAACAAAUAAAGAAAACUCUAAUUCACGGUUUGAUUGUCAUUUCCCAGCCGUGUCUCUCCUGCUCUGUCUAUUCUCUCUUCUAAAUUUUCUCUCUACCUGUUUUUCAUUCUGGGCUUGCUGCUAAGUUGUGCCAAGCCAAUAAAGAGAGUACAUAAUAUUCUCUCGACUGACAAACUGUCAAACAAACAAAGACAUUGUUUCUGAGAAAUAAAAACUGAAAUAUAAAGACAAAGAAAACAU